AGUUAUCAAGAAUUUAAUUGCCGAACAAAUAAACUUGAUUCAACACAAGAUGUAAAAGUAAGAAACUAAAAGUAGAAAGAGGAUAAUAUCGUCAAGUUCUUCUGAUAAUGAGGAUAGCGGAAUAAAU